CGCGCCGUUCACCGUAUACCGUCACGACGCCACCACCACUUUCCUCCUCGCCGCAGGCAGUCCAACCAUCUCUCUCAACUUCAUCUUCCUCUUUCCCUUCUUAGAUUGACGCCUCUUCCUCUCUUGAUAAGGAUUGACUCACGACGCAUCUCCUCCACCUCCUCCCUUUGGGUAAGAAGAGGAACGAGAAAGGAGAGGUGACGAGUUGAUUUUGUUUUUUAGGGUUUCAGAGUAUUAGCGGCGGAGGGAGGCAAGAUGAAGAUGACUAGAGGGAAAGGUGAUACUAAGUUCCACUGAUCAAGACGAUCAAAUCGUACCUUUUAUUUCUAAAUUCUAAAUUUGCAAGAACCUCACCGCUGCCCUCUUUCCUCUCUCCCUCUUCAUCAAAUUCUAAGUUUUCGAUCUUCUUUUUUUCGAGGAUCUCGACAUCUCGUCACGGAGGAGACCAGAAAAGCGAAGCCCAAGGCUGGCACUUCCCUUUCCCGAGCCGCCGUCAGUGUAAGUUCCAACCUCUCGAGCCGCCGUCACUUCCCUUUCUCGAGCAGCUCAAUCGGCCAAAGCAUGCCCAGUCUCCGACGCCACCCACCGCGAUCCUCACUGCCUCAGCGCCAUCAUCUCCGGCCUCGCCCUCGACGGUCGCCCGCUGGAAGCUCUUCGCCUCUUCAAAUGGUUCCAGACCUCCGCCCUCGACCCCGACGAGUUCACCCUCUCCAAUGCGCUCUCGCUCUCCGCCAAUCUCAGCGCGCUGGACCAGGGAAGGCAGAUCCAAGCUCUCGUCUUCAAGAAGAAUCUACCCAUGGACGUCGCCGCCACCAACUCGCUCAUCAAUCUCUACUUCAAGUGCGGCAGCAUCGCCGACGCGGAGAAGGUGUUCGACGGUGCCAUCUAUCAGGCCAGAUAUGGUUGAAGUUGUGAACAUACUAGAGAUGAUCAGAUGCCCUCAGGAUAAUCCGGAAGAGGAGCUUUCUUGACGGUUUGGUCCACAAUCUCUGCGACAUAAACCAGUUAUAUGGCCCAAGUGAUGCGAUCAUUCCAUUCAUCUUGUAGCAAUUACCAGGAACUCUAAGUUGCAUGUUUAAUUAAAUCUGAAAGGUCUUACUAGUAUUCAAAUAUUGUUACCUCAUGUUUCUCCUUCCUUGUUCAGUUCUUGCAUAUGUAGAGGAUUGAGAUUGUGAAAGUUGGUGAAGUUCAUAUAGAGAAUGCAAGUCUCCAUAGAAGAAGGAGAAGGUAAAGCGCAAGAGCUCGGUGUCAUGUUUAUCAAAACAAGCGCAAAAGCUGGCUUCAAUAUAAAGGCUCUCUUUCGAAAGAUUGCGGCUGCCUUGCCCGGGAUGGAAACCUUUCUCCUCCAUGUUGCUUAGAUUUAUGAGGAAAGUGAAAGUGAGGAUGAUGGUCUUGAGAUGGGUGAUGAUGAUGAUGUUGAGGAACUUGAAAAUGAAUCAGAGGCUGUUAGGAAAGAACCAACCAUUGAGAAACUUGCUCCUGUUUCAGCAUCAUUUGUUGUUUGCCUAUUGAAAAUUGAUGUCUUGGACGGAAUGCUUUCUUGCAUUUCUGUGUUCGGAGUUGCUAUGAAGAAGGUUUGUUGAUAAGUCUGUGCAUAUGUUUGAUCAACGUAACCUAACUUCUGGUGGUGUUGGUGCACCAGUACACAAACUUGAUGGUCACAAGGCUGCUGUUCUCUAUGUUCAGG